rnacentral:rRNA from 1 species
UACAGAGGGGGCAAGCGUUGUUCGGAAUUACUGGGCGUAAAGGGCGCGUAGGCGGCCCUCUAAGUCAGACGUGAAAUCCCUCGGCUCAACCGAGGAAGUGCAUCCAAAACUGGCGGGCUUGAAUCUCGGAGGGGGCCAGAGAAUUCCCGGUGUAGAGGUGAAAUUCGUAGAUAUCGGGAGGAAUACCAGUGGCGAAGGCGCUGGCCUGGACGAAGAUUGACGCUGAGGUGCGAAAGCGUGGGGAGCAAACAGG